UCCCAGGAGAGCGGACUGGACUCUGGGCGCCCAGCAGGGCUCGGCCCCCGGGCGACCUCGCUUUCUGCGGUGGAGAGCUGCGUGCGGGACCCCGCGAACCGGCCUGGCCGCCGAGGCCGCGAAAGGCCCAGGGCUCUGUGAAUUUGCUCGGGCCCAGAGCUCAGGUGGCGCGAAGGACGACGAGUGACGUGGGAACCCGCGUCCUCACUGCAAACGUGGUGCGUGGGGCCCACCCUCAGGGAGCAGAAGUUCUGGAGCAGGAUUUCAGGUUGGCCUCCUUCGAUUCCCCAUUGAUGAAUUGUGCCUUCUGAACCAUCCGGAACUGGGAUGAAUCCAGCCAUUGCUCCUCCUGGGGAACCCAUCCCACAGUCACAGGGUACAUCACCCAUGUACUGUGAAGGUCUCUGCAGAUGCCGACACCCCGUGAAAAAAAAGAAUGAAGCUUUGGAAUACUCACACAGCAACAGCAAAAGACCGAGGAAUAUCAGGCCAAUGGCAGCGGGCCCCAGUCUCCAAGAUGACUCAUCUUCUUCAUACCUGGGCUUAGGGGUUGGGGCUGCACAGACGUCUCUGUUGUUGCACUGACAGACCUCCAGAGUCAGACUCUCUGGAGUCUCACACUGCCUGUUGUCUCUGUCUGAAAUUAUGAGGGACACACUGUGCACUCCAGGGGAUACCUGCUGCUGGGCCUUUAGGAGUGCAGAGGUAGCUGUAGAGAAACAAUUGUACAAAUCAACAGUAGGAUAAGGCACCCUUUGCUCUUAAAAUGACUUAUUUUUCUUAACAGAACCAGAGUUGCCAUAGACAUCACUGUCACAAACAGUAAAGCUAGUAGGGUGAGAUUUGAGCAGUUAUGAGGGCUUUAAGAGAUUUAGCUGGGGAAAUCAGGCCGUAUUUCCUCCUUGUCCCAGAUGGGCCCAUUAUUCUCACUCAUGAAGACUCAGUCCUACCUUGAAUUUCCCCACUAAGUGGGGAGGCAGGGGGUGGAAUCGGGGCGGACGUCAUUUUAAUCCCAGAUGUUUCUUUCCUAGGGCUUAUCUACUCUCCUGUAUGUCUGUCCCAAAUCCUUGGCCCUUGUGUGGCCCUCUGAGUGUAUCUCUUCUGUUUAACUCCAUAUUUUUGUGCCUGACUUAGUAAAAACUGAAUUUCUGCUUUGGCUGAUGCUACCUCCUCUGCUCCUGUCAGUCCUGACGCCUCGAACCUGACUGGUUGUACUGCGUAACCUGUGGUGCAGGCCUGUGGUCUCUCCUACUCACGGAGUUGAUUGCUCUCCAUUCUCCAUCGCUGUGUUGUCCCUUUCUGAGUGGGCUCGAGCAACAGCUCUUGGUGGCUGCAGGGCUGUGUUGCUUGAAUUAGUCUUAUUUAGAUAGUCAACUUAACAUUUCAUAUUGAUUUGUAUUAGUUUUGGGGGUACAGCCUAGUGUUGAAUCAGUCUGGACUCCACCAAGCCCUUUGCUAUUACGCCUGAUCCACCUGGUCCCACCACAGUUGCCUGGCUCAGCCUCACCUGAGCAGGUGUGUCUAGUACAAGGUCCUGUCUCUCUCUGAUAUUUCUUUUGCAGCCUUUUCAUUGGCUAUGUGUCUGGUAAAACCUUGAGCUAAAUGCUACAUGCAUAAUUUGGAGCUAAAACCUUACACCAGGAUUAGUAAGGCCCCAGGAAGGAAGACCAUGGAGAACAAGAUCCCUUUGGUGGCACUAGCAGGGACUGAUACCUGUGGCUAGGACACCACAGAGCACAUUUAUAAAAACAAGCAAGAUUGGUUCAGAGAAGAGUUAGAAAAAAGUGAGUUCAUUUACAAGGGAUUUGAAGUGGCCUGAUGGCCACCAUAAAAUUUAGAAAGGGAGGAGACUCUUAUUAAAUCUAAUGGCUAUUUCUCUGAGACUCCUGGAAAAGACAAGAAAUGUGAAAUUAGCAUGAUAAAGGCUAAGAGAACAGGGAAGGUGGAUUAGCUCUUUCCCACUGCCUGAUGGGUUUACAGAGUUCUGUUCCCAUUUGUGCUAAAGAUUCCUGACUAGGGACACACUAAGUAGCAUUUCCUGUGAGCUUUGAACAGGCAGACACUUCUCUUGUGCUUUCUGUCUCUUCACAGCCUGCCCAGUAAGAAAAGUUUAUGUAUUUAUAAAUCUAAAGAGCUCUGAAAUAAAAAUAGAUGCCUGACUUUAAUGUUAUUUCGGUGUGCUCUGGAGAUAGAAAUAACAUAUAAAAAACAAUUUGGAGUCCACAUGAAAAACAACAUAUUAAAUCGUGCUAAUGUUAUAUCAUAUCAUUUCUUUCCUCUUGUGAAAAGAGAAGGAAUUCAUGAGGCUAGGAGCAUGUCUUCACUGCAGAGAAUUGUUUCAAUUGCUCUUGGAAAGAACUUGCUCCCACAUGAGCCCUUAUUCUUCCGAAGCUACAAAGAAGCAGUGACUUUCAUUUAUGGAUGGGACUUUAUUACUCACCAUUAAGAGUUGUGAUGCUCCAAACAGUUGGCAAUUUCUGAGGCUGAUCCUCCAGUGAAAACGUGUAGGGGCCGGAAUAUUUACUACUGUCCGCUACGUGAGCCGAGACAAUCACAGAAGGCGAUGAGCUGCAAAUUGUUUCCUUUUCGAGGACAAUUGUUGGACAAUUUUCAUUAAAAUCAGAUGAAAAAAGUCCUCAAAGGAAAAUGUUUUCCUGAUGUGGAAGAGGGGAAACAAAAACUUGCAGAAGCACCAAAAAGACAUCAAAAUCGACAAGUUCAAAACUGUUUGGAGCAGUGGAAAAAACAUCUUGACAGGUGUAUUACAUCAAAUGGAGAGUGCUUUGAAGACUUUACAAGAAGGAUUCAGCAAUCAAAUAUGAUGCUCUCUCUCAGAAAGGAAAUAGAAAGGAAAGCUUGUGAUUAUUGGAAGAAAAAGUAGGACUUACCAUGAAAAUGGCCAGAGCCCCUGUGGCUCUGAGAAGCAGUGAAGUCAUCGUCUCUGUCUCCCGCUGAGCAAAUCCCCAGGAGCUGCUGCCUCCGUCCUUCCACCCUCCGCACAGGUCUCUGCUGUCUUCUCGAGUCUACAGAUGGCCUGUUAUGCGGUUCCUCCCCACCCUAACCCAAGGAUUGGUCUCACCAGCAACGCUUGAAUCACUUUUGCUUCCAGGUAAAAACUUAGACACACCUCAAUUCCUAAAGCAAUGAAAUCCUUUGUUGGAAGCUGAAGGAGUUCACAGGCUAAAGACCAUGUUUAAUGGGAAGGUACCAGAUGAAUAAUAAACGAAUCAUGGUGUGGCUGUGUACAAGCUAGUCCUGACUACACUGAACAAGAAUCCACUUGGCUUCUUCUCAGGGUUUCAAUUAAAACUGAAAAGCAGAACAAAACACAAAAAUUCCCCAAAACCUAACUGGUGGAAGGGCAUUUAUUUCUGGCCUGUCUGUAUGUGGGUAGAUCUAAAGUGAAGCAAAAGGUAGGUGUUAAGUAAUAAUAUAUUUUAUUGAAAAUAACUACAAAUCUGAAGAAAAAACCCACCACAUCAAGCAGCUAUUAAUGCAGGUUUUAAAUGAAAAUAAUUAGAAAUACAAUUGGAGUAAAAAGUGAUAUGAUUGGAGCCCUGGCUGGUCUAGCUCAGUGGAUUGAGCAAGGACCUGUGAAGCAAAGGGUCACUGGUUCGAUUCCCAGUCAGGGCACAUGCCUGGGUUGCAAGCCAGGUCACCAGAAGGGGACACAUGAGAGGCAAUUACACAUUGAUGUUUCUCUCCCACUCUUUCUCCUUCCCUUCCCCUCUCUCUAAGAAAUA